rnacentral:rRNA from 1 species
UCCUCCAAGGCUAAAUACUCCUGACUGACCGAUAGUGAACCAGUACCGUGAGGGAAAGGCGAAAAGAACCCCGGCGAGGGGAGUGAAAAAGAACCUGAAACCGUGUACGUACAAGCAGUGGGAGCACAGGUUUACCUGUGUGACUGCGUACCUUUUGUAUAAUGGGUCAGCGACUUAUAUUCUGUAGCAAGGUUAACCGUAUAGGGGAGCCGGAGGGAAACCGAGUCUUAACCGGGCGUUAAGUUGCAGGGUAUAGACCCGAAACCCGGUGAUCUAGCCAUGGGCAGGUUGAAGGUUGGGUAACACUAACUGGAGGACCGAACCGACUAAUGUUGAAAAAUUAGCGGAUGACCUGUGGCUGGGGGUGAAAGGCCAAUCAAACCGGGAGAUAGCUGGUUCUCCCCGAAAGCUAUUUAGGUAGCGCCUCGUGAAUUCAUCUCCGGGGGUAGAGCACUGUUUCGGCUAGGGGGCCAUCCCGGCUUACCAACCCGAUGCAAACUGCGAAUACCGGAGAAUGUUAUCACGGGAGACACACGGCGGGUGCUAACGUCCGUCGUGAA